UUUUUUUUUUUUUUUUUUUGUCUUUUUAGGGCCGCACCCUCAGCAUACGGAGGUUCCCAGACUAGGGGUCCAAUCGGAGCUGUAGCCGCCAGCGGACACCACAGCCACGGCCAGAUCUGAGCUGCAUCUGCGACCUACACCAUAGCUCACGGCAACGCUGGGUCCUUAACCCACGAGUGAGGCCAGGGAUCGAACCUGCAACCUCAUGGUUCCUAGUUGGAUUCGUUUCUGCUGUGCCAUCUUUACUUGAAAGAGAAACUGACAGAUAAACUCUGAUUUUUCCGAUUUGAGUAUUUGACAGACAUUUUCUCAAAUGUGAACAAAGUAAGACUUUGAAGGGGGGAAAAAAACCCGACAAUAUUUAUCACCCAUGGUAACAUCUGAGCUUUCCGGUGAGAAUUCGACUUUUGGAAGAAUGUUUGUCACUGUUAACUUUGACAGUGUCCUAAAACUUAACAACGUUUCUGGUGAGACUGGUAACGAUACCAGUAAACGUAAUUUGUUUUUGUUUUUUUUUUAAAGAUCGUGUCGUGAAAUGUGUCAACAUUUGGCAGAGCUGCAUGCCUCAGUGAACCAGCAUUUUCUAAAUGACCCCUGCGUGAGGUUACAAAAUCACGCAUCGGGGGAAUGAGUCACGCAAAGUGCAAGACAGACCAGUGGGUUUUCACGUAAGGGUACCCCAAGUGCACUGAUGUGGUUUCAGACGCUACGCUGGCGCUGACCUUUGAGAAACAACCGCGUGGCGAGUUCUGGCCUCGUAUCAAAGCCGACGAUUCACAAUUAUCUUUGAAGCUAUUAAAACAGUCCUCUCUUAUCCAACUACACAUCUGUGGGAAGCUGGACUCUCUUUCCUUUUUCUCUUAUGGCCAAACCCAUGGCAAAUGGAAGUUCCCAGGCCAGGAAUCAAACGCAAGCCAGAGCUAUGACCUAUGCUGGGGCUGCAGCAAUGCCAGAUCCUUCGACCUACUGAGCUGGGCUGGGGAUCGAAUCGGCACCUUCACAGAGAGAAGGCGGAUCAUUAGGCCACUGGGCCACGGAGGAAACACCUGGAUUUUCUUCAACGUAAACAAUAGAUCAGCAAGGACUGAAUGCAGAAGCACAUCUGAAGGUCCAGCUGCCUUUGGUUAAACCAGACAUUAAAGACACCUGCAAAAAUAUAAAGCAGGAGUUCCCGUCGUGACUCAGUGGUUAAUGAAUCCGACUAGGAACCAUGAGGUUGUGGGUUCGAUCCCUGGCCUUGCUCAGUGGAUUAAGGAUCCAGUGUUGUCGCGAGCUGUGGUGUAGUUGGGUUCGUUUCCACUGAGCCACAGCAGGCACUCCCUAAAAAUAUGUUUUUUUUUUUUAAAUAAUGAUUUCUAUUUUUUCCAUUAUAGCUGGUAUACAGUAUUCUGUCUAAAAGUAUGUUCUUAAUGUUAACAUGUAAUAUGGAUUUAUCAUGGUUAUCUUUAAAUGAUUUCAUAAAUACAUUGAGAAAUUUCUAAUAUGGAAAAUACCAGUUGCUAGAAAACCCACACAAGCCGAAGCUCUUGGGACCCUCAAUGCUUUCGAGGGUAAGGAGGCGCUGGACCCAUAGUUUGAGAGCCACUGGCCUGGGGCAGCGGGAGCAGAGAGAAAAGAGGGCAGAGAUUAUGCCCCGUCGGGCUCCGGGGAUUGGGGCUGGGCAGGGCUAUGUCUCUGCCCUUGCAGGUGGCCGUGGCCUUGGCCUUGGCCUGGGUGAGGGCUGCUUGAACCACACUGCCAGGGCGUUUGAGGAGAAUUACACAUCUUCUGGCAAGAGAUACACGUGGGGCAGGAUGGUGACCACGAAGGCAAAGGCUGAGGCGGACUGAGACGGUGCCGCCAAGUACUGAAAGAACCACCCAGAAGCCCUGGGCGAGCCGAGGGAGAGCGAGAGGAAGCGGCCACUUCUGCCCUUGGCUUGAGCAGGGUCCAGCCCCAUGGGGUGACAGCCCAGGAAGUAAUGGGGCCUGAGUCCCGCUAUCCCAUCAGAAGCUGAAGAGGAGCUGGUGUGGGGGGGUGCCCAAGAAUUUAGAGCUGAACAGGGAUUCUUGUCACCAGUGUGCAAUUCACAGGACGCUCUGGGCCCCUUCCCAGGGAUGUGUUAAUUACCUCCCCCCACUGGUCCCCGCGGGCAACCAGGCUGGAAACGAGCAAAGGCCAGCUCCAGCUCACGCUGCUCCGUUCUGCCUGCGAAAACCCCUGUCCUCAGCCCCACGCUUGGCUCUAGGGCAGAGAUGUGGAAUUUUCCAGGAAAACUUCAAAAUCAGCACUGAGAGGGGAAGACAUUUGAAAAGUGAUGCUGAAGAGGAGAAAGAAAAGAAAAGGCAGGCUGGGCUUGGCCAGGGCUGCCCGGGACCCGAGGGCUGAGGAGGUGAAAACCGAGGCUGUGUGUUUUCAUCUCACACGGAGUCCCCAGAACAGCACUCAAACGUGACCCAGGCCCCAGGGCAUCCCGUCCUCCUGGGAUUUGAAGCUCGGGGACCCAGAGGUCCUGCGGCUUCUGCUGUGAGCCACAUCUAAGAGGGCCUCUCUGGAUGUCCAGCCAGCCAAAUGUCUGUGUCACAUCCCUAAUAUCCCACACCCGGAGUGGAGAAUCAGGGCGCAGUGCCCUGCCUGCACGCUUGGCACAGGUACCACGUUACAUGUUAGGGGGCCAUCAGGGAUGAUGGCAGAAAGCCCUCCGCCCUCGCAAGUCUCUGUUCUCAGAGACGUAACCGGGCAACUACAACUCGGUGGGACCGGCACUCAGACGGUGAGGCUGUGGGGACACAGACAGAGAACCCUAACUCAGGCUCAGGCAAUCUGGGAAGACUUUUGGGAGGAGGUGGCAUCGAGAGGACCCAGUCAAGGAGACAGUACAAUGUAGGCAGUAGGAGCUUGGCUCCAAGGCAGACUUGGGUUUGAAUCCUACCUCCUAGUUCUGUGAUCCUGAGCCUUGCCGUCCCCCGCCCAAACCCCCACCAAAAUCAGAGAUGUUAUUAGUUACCUGCCUCAUAGGACUGCUGAGGGGUUAAGCAUAAUUAUGCAGGUAAAAAAUCAUGAUGCGGGGCUUGGCACAUCCUAACCACUCAAUAAAUGAUACCUGUUGUAUUUAUAACCGUGCAAAGCUCUAUUCUCACCCCUGACAGGUCCACCCAGGUCAGACCCCCAGACUAUUCCACACCAGGUGGAGCUGCCAGCCCAGAGCAGGAGCAUGGAUGGAACCCUGGCCCUGUCAGCCUCAGCCCGGGCCCUCUCCUCAUACGGGGCACACGUGGGGGGAGGGGGGAGGGGCAGCCCCAGAGCCUAGACAGGGUGAUGACGGGCAGAGGGGGCACUGCCCACCUCUCCUGAGCCUGCGGAGUGCUGAGCACGACGCAGAGCUGAUCUUGAGGAGUAUUUUCCAGCACAGAAACUCCAAGUCACCUGCCUGGAAUGAAGCAGGGGAAAAAAAAAAAAAAAAAAAAAAA
rnacentral:lncRNA from 1 species